CCCUUAGACGUUCUGGGCCGCACGCGCGCUACACUGACCAGUGCAACAAGCAUCCGUCCUUGGCCGACAGGCCCGGGCAAUCUUUGAACGCUGGUCGUGAUGGGGAUAGACUUUUGCAAUUUUUGGUCUUCAACGAGGAAUUCCUAGUAAACGCAAGUCAUCGACUUGCAUUGAUUACGUCCCUGCCCUUUGUACACACCGCCCGUCGCACCUACCGAUUGAAUGGUCCGGUGAAGCCUCCGGAUUGGCGCGCACCUCGGUGCCGCCGAGAAGUUGGCUAAACCUUACCAUUUAGAGGAAGGUGAAGUCGUAACA
rnacentral:rRNA from 1 species